CGCUUUGCUGGUUGGUAAUGGUUUAACGGCAGCAGCAAAGAUGAAGUGUCCUACUGUUGGAAAAGGUGCUGAAACAGGACAAAGGGUGGCGAAGUUAGAGCCCUUGCAUCGAACGUCUGGCGGGU
rnacentral:sRNA from 12 species